rnacentral:rRNA from 1 species
AGUGAACGCUGGCGGUAGGCCUAACACAUGCAAGUCGAACGGCAGCACAGUAAGAUUUUGCUCUUACGGUUGGCGAGUGGCGGACGGGUGAGGAAUACAUCGGAAUCUUCUUUUUCGUGGGGGAUAACGUAGGGAAACUUACGCUAAUACCGCAUACGACCUACGGGUGAAAGCAGUGGAUCUUCGGACCUUGCGCGAUUGAAUUAGCCGAUGUCGGAUUAGCUAGUUGGCGGGGUAAAGGCCCACCAAGGCGACGAUCCGUAGCUGGUCUGAGAGGAUGAUCAGCCACACUGGAACUGAGACACGGUCCAGACUCCUACGGGAGGCAGCAGUGGGGAAUAUUGGACAAUGGGCGCAAGCCUGAUCCAGCCAUACCGCGUGGGUGAAGAAGGCCUUCGGGUUGUAAAGCCCUUUUGUUGGGAAAGAACAGCAGCAGGUUAAUACCCCGCUGUUCUGACGGUACCCAAAGAAUAAGCACCGGCUAACUUCGUG